AGUUUCCAUUUUUCCGGUUGUUACUCUUCUGUCCGGAUUCAUGGGUAGAUGACCGGCCUUCACUCAGUCUAAACGCGUCGUUAGUCCUUUGUAGUGUUUUAUUGCUACAGAGCGAUACAUUAACGAGCAGAUGGAUAUGGACAUAGGCAGUUAUCUAAGGUCCGAGAGGAUCUCCACUGCACCGUAUACUACGCUUACUAAACUUUUGGAGAAAUGGGGAACCAUUCAACCAGAUAGAGAAGCCAUUGUUUGUUACAGCCACGACGGGACCAGAACCUCGAUAACUUACGGUAAAUUCUACAACGAUGCCGUCAAGUUGGCAAAGGGGCUUAUUUGUAUUGGUGUAAAGGGAGGGGACUAUGUCGGAAUCGGAGGAAACAACACGCCUGAAUGGAUGGUGGGUACCUAUGGGGUUCUAUUUGCCAAGGCUUGCCCGGUAUACUUUCCGUUCCACGACAAAAGUGGAGAUGGUAUCAAAAGAACUCUGACCAAAGUCGGCGGAUGCAAGGCAAUCCUCUUUGAUCCGGGACUCGGAGAUUCUCAUUGGGAAGUAAUGCAACGAAUAGCUCAAGUUGAUCAAAACACUGGAGGUGUAUUGCAAUCUGAUAUCCCUGCUUUGAAAUGGCUGAUAGCACUUUCUCCGAUAGGAUCACAUGAAGGAUUUCCAACAAUAGCCAGUAUUUUUUGCGAUGACAACACUGAACUGCCUGAAAUUGACCCUGAAGAUAAAGCAGCUGUGCUUCAAACCUCUGGAAGUACGGGAUUUCCGAAAGUGGUCGAAAAAACCCAUUACGAAUUUGUCAAAUAUGGUGAAGAUUAUGCCUUUCUUUUAGAUGUGGAUAUAAAGAAAGACAGUGGUACCAUCUAUUACAAUGAUCGACCCUUCUUCUGGCAAGGCGGGUACCCAGGAUUUGUAAUGGUGGUUGGCGGAACAAGAGUUACUCAGAAAACCACGCUGGCGUUGUCAUCAUAUUCAGAGAUUGUACAAUUCACCAAGACCAUCAUUCAUAAGGAAAAACCUGACUGUGGAUUUUUUGUAGUUCCUUUCUACCUAGAAAUGACGGGAUCAGAAGACUUUCUUUGGAAAUUUCGAUCAGUUAUUGUAUCAGGCCAACCUAUUCCGCCAAUUUGUUUUGAGGGCAAAGGUAAGGUAUAUGAUGCCUUUUCAGCCCUUUAUGGUAGCACAGAAGCUGGUAUGAUUGCAGGAAAGAUUUAUCGUUCAUCUGAACCGCGGGGGGAUGAAAUUAUCGGCAUGUUACCUCUAGCAGGUAUGGAAUUAAAGGUGGUUGGAAAGGAUGGCUUCGUUGUUCCUCGAGGUUCGAAAGGUGAGCUUUACAUACGCUCGUCCCCUCAAUUUAAGGGAUAUCUAAAUGACCCUGAGAAAACAGCGAUAGUCCUAGACUCUUCUGGUUGGUAUAAAGCAGACGACUUCUGUAAAAUCAAUUCAGCGGGACAUCUGGAGGUAUUGGGUAGAGUGUCUGAUGUGAUGCAAAUUUCAGGAAACAAAAUUACACCGUCUUUCAUUGAGGCAUACGUAAAAAGGCACCCGGAUGUUAUGGAGGUGGUGGUCUUCGCCAUCAAGGACCAAAGUCACGCGGAUGAUGUUCCAUGUGCUGCAGUUGUCAGAGUGGACGGAUCGACCUUGACCGAAGAAUCCCUGCGUGAGUUUAUCAAACGAGAACUGAACAUCACAGAAGAUGCAAAGUUUACGGAAAAUGUCUACGUACCCAGGCAUAUUGUGUUUCUUAAUGAUCUACCAAGAACAUCUACGGGCAAGUCUGAUCGGAAAGCUGUCAAAAAUAUGUGUCUUCCUAAAACGUAGGCCAUCUGCGAAUGGUAUCUUUAUCCGACAAAUAUGACAAGGAUUAGAAAUAACGGAAUCACGAAAUAAAAUCCAAACAGAUUGUAUAAAUUUGGUUAGAAUCAUCCGCCGCUGUGGGGAGUGCGGUUUAGUUUUGGCUUACUACAACAAGUUACUCAAAUCUCAAUGAACUGUUUCAUGUUGGCGUCAAAUGGGCUUUUCAAUACUAUUUUGUUUUUUGUUGUUGAAUUUCUCUUUGUGCUGAUCUAUUUGUCAUGUUUGAAUAUACAUUUGUUGGGAAUUACAGUAUAUUGAAAGCCUUAUUUUACGUU
rnacentral:misc_RNA from 1 species